rnacentral:rRNA from 1 species
GACGAACGCUGGCGGCGUGCUUAACACAUGCAAGUCGAACGGAAAGGCCCUGCUUUUGUGGGGUGCUCGAGUGGCGAACGGGUGAGUAACACGUGAGUAACCUGCCCUUGACUUUGGGAUAACUUCAGGAAACUGGGGCUAAUACCGGAUAGGAGCUCCUGCUCCAUGGUGGGGGGUGGAAAGUUUCGGCGGGUGGGGAUGGACUCGCGGCUUAUCAGCUUGUUGGUGGGGUAGUGGCUUACCAAGGCUUUGACGGGUAGCCGGCCUGAGAGGGUGACCGGCCACAUUGGGACUGAGAUACGGCCCAGACUCCUACGGGAGGCAGCAGUGGGGAAUAUUGCACAAUGGGCGGAAGCCUGAUGCAGCAACGCCGCGUGCGGGAUGACGGCCUUCGGGUUGUAAACCGCUUUCGCCUGUGACGAAGCGUGAGUGACGGUAACGGGUAAAGAAGCACCGGCUAACUACGUG